rnacentral:rRNA from 1 species
UACAGAGGUCUCAAGCGUUGUUCGGAUUCAUUGGGCGUAAAGGGUGCGUAGGCGGCGUGGUAAGUCGGGUGUGAAAUCUCGGAGCUUAACUCCGAAACUGCAUUCGAUACUGCCGUGCUUGAGGACUGGAGAGGAGACUGGAAUUUACGGUGUAGCGGUGAAAUGCGCAGAUAUCGGGAAGAACACCCGUGGCGAAGGCGGCUCUCUGGGACGGUACUGACGCUGAGACGCGAAAGCCAGGGGAGCAAACGGG